CAUUGCCAGCUCUGUCUUGCCUGGGCCUGUGUGGGCAGACCCUCAAUUCCUGAGAUGACAGUGAAUGCUGUGUUAUCCUGCUGUAUCAGUUACCUAUUUUCAUACAAAUACUUCAAUCCCAAAACACACUGGCUGGAAACAACAAACAUGUAAUUAGUCUGUAAGUUUAAAAUUUGACAAUUACGGUUUGACUGGGUGGUUUUUCUGGUCACUGCUGGGCUCAUUCACAUGCUUGGGAACUGGGUGGCUAUUGGCUGAUCUAGGAUGACCUUAGAUGGGAUGAUUGAAGAGAAACUUCUUUGUGUCUUGUCUCUCAUUCUCUAUCAAACUAAUCCAGGGAUGUUCUCAUGGCAAUGGCAGAGGAGCAAAGGCCAAAUGGAAACAUGCAAGAGUUCUUAAGUCCCAGGCCUGGAAGUGACAGCAAAUCAUUUCCCUGCACUCUACUGGACAAAGCUACAACAUCAACCUAGAUUCAGUGAAUAGGGAAAUUACUCCAUGAUAUCGUUUGGAUAUCUGUGUCUCCAUCACAUCUCAUGUUGAAAUGUAAUCCCUAGUGAUGAAGGUGGGGAGGUGUUUCGAUCAUGGGGGUGUAUCCCUCAUGAAUGGCUUAGCGUCAUCCCCUUGGUGAUAAGUGAGUUCUCAUGAGAUCUGAUUGUUUAAAAGUGUGUGGCACCUCCCCCAACUCUCUCUCUCUCUCUCUC
rnacentral:lncRNA from 1 species